GAUUAUACUAUUGCGUCCUCUUAACGGAUUAUGAAUUUUUUAUAUUGUUUAUCGAUCUACAUAAAAAAUAAACAAUCAUUAAAUUUAAAUUAAACAUCAUAUUCUAUUUUAAAUAAAUGUAUAGGUAUUUCUGUACAUUAAAAUGUUUAAUUUUUAUAAAUCAAAAUUCGAAGUUAAACUCCGUGUUGUAUACAUAAAUGAUAUGUUUGAGAGUUAUCAUGAGCGAACAGAGUAAUGCAUUAAAUUUUAUCAAAAAAGGCAAGUCACGUGUUUAGGUGUACCUAAUACUAAAAAAUCUGUAGAAUUGGUCACGUAAGCGAUGUACCAUCACCGAGGGAAAAUAUUUUAUUUUACGAACGCGUCCAUGAGUACUUACGAUAUCAACGAAAGGACCAAAAGUUUUCAGGUUUGUGUUGUAAAAGUUGUUACGAACUCAAUAUUGGGUCUCCUUAUUGCACUGAACAUCAAACAGAAUAUAGCCACAAUUGUAUCAACGUCAAAAAUUACGGAUUUGGUGGCUCACUAG